rnacentral:lncRNA from 1 species
UGAACAGUCGGACCAGAAGGGAGAACUGCAUCGCUAGGAUGAAGCUCGUGAGAUUUUUGAUGAAAUUGAGUCAUGAAACUGUAACCAUUGAAUUGAAGAAUGGGACACAAGUCCAUGGAACAAUCACAGACAGCUUACCUCUAGAUACACUACUUGUGGAUGUUGAACCUAAGGUGAAAUCUAGGAAAAGAGAAGCUGUUGCAGGAAGAGGCCGAGGCCGGGGUAGAGGAAGAGGAC